GCUGGGCAUGGUGGCGCAUGCCUGUAAUCCCAGCUACUUGGGAGGCUGAAGCAGGAGAAUUGCUUGAGCCCGGGAAGGCGGAGGUUGCAGUGAGCAGGGAUUGCACCACUGUACUCUAGCCUGGGCAACAGAGUGAGACCCUGUCU
ensembl:misc_RNA Metazoa_SRP Metazoan signal recognition particle RNA